UCGAAACUUGUGACAGCUGGAAAAUUGUGACAGAUACAUAUUUGAAAGUAGCAUUGGCUUUGUUUAUUUUUGCUUCAGCAAUUUAUUAUGUCGAAAAGAAGAUAAUCAGCUGCUUAGCCAUAGGGAAUGGAGCGCAGAGUAUUCGCAGGACAAAAUGGUGAUGACUAUUACUGGCUGAUGCAGAAACUUAACCAGAAGCCAAUGUAUUGAAUAUAAUAAUGUACGGAUCAUGAGAUAGUCGCGAGUAUGCUGUAAAGGAUAUGACAAAAGUGGAUAAUAAUUAACGCAAUCACCAAGAUAUCCAAAUAUUUCGAGUUUAUAACGAUGAAAUACAUCAAGACAAAGCAUCAGUAUAAUUUAUGAAUAUAUGU